rnacentral:rRNA from 1 species
GACGAAGGAUGCAAGCGUUAUCCGGAUUCAUUGGGUUUAAAGGGAGCGUAGGCGGCCUUGUAAGUCAGUGGUGAAAUCUUCCCGCUUAACGGGAAAACUGCCAUUGAUACUGCUUGGCUUGAGUACAGAUGCUGUGGGCGGAAUAUGACAUGUAGUGGUGAAAAUACAUAGAGAUGUCAUAGAACACCGAUUGCGAAGGCAGCUCACAAAAACUGUAACUGACGCUGAGGCUCGAAAGUGUGGGGAUCAAACAGG